GCCUAACACAUGCAAGUCGAACGGCAGCACAGGAGAGCUUGCUCUCUGGGUGGCGAGUGGCGGACGGGUGAGUAACACGUGGGAACGUGCCUUUAGGUUCGGAAUAACUCGGGGAAACUUGUGCUAAUACCGAAUGUGCCCUUCGGGGGAAAGAUUUAUCGCCUUUAGAGCGGCCCGCGUCUGAUUAGCUAGUUGGUGAGGUAAAGGCUCACCAAGGCGACGAUCAGUAGCUGGUCUGAGAGGAUGAUCAGCCACAUUGGGACUGAGACACGGCCCAAACUCCUACGGGAGGCAGCAGUGGGGAAUCUUGCGCAAUGGGCGAAAGCCUGACGCAGCCAUGCCGCGUGAAUGAUGAAGGUCUUAGGAUUGUAAAAUUCUUUCACCGGGGACGAUAAUGACGGUACCCGGAGAAGAAGCCCCGGCUAACUUCGUGCCAGCCGCCGCAGUAA
rnacentral:rRNA from 1 species